GUGAAAAGCCAAUCGAACCAGGAGAUAGCUCGUUCUCUCCGAAAUGCAUCUAGGUGCAGCCUUGAGUGUUCAAUUAUGGGGGUAGAGCACUGAAUGAUCUAGGGGGCAUAUUGCUUACUGAAAUCAAUCAAACUCCGAAUACCAUAAUUUAUAGCUCAGGAGUGAGACUAUGGGAGUUAACUUCCAUUGUCAAAAGGGAAACAACCCAGACCACCAGCUAAGGUCCCUAAUUAUAACUAAGUGGGAAAGGAGGUGGAGAUUCACAAACAACUAGGAGGUUGGCUUAGAAGCAGCCAUACCUUUAAAGAGUGCGUAAUAGCUCACUAGUCGAGAGUCUCUGCGCCGACAAUGUAACGGGGCUAAGUUAUAAACCGAAGCUGUGGAAUCCGUAAGGAUUGGUAGGAGAGCGUUCUGUAGGCCGUUGAAGAAGAAGGGUAACCAACUUUGGAGGUAUCAGAAGUGAGAAUGCAGGAAUAAGUAGCGAGAAAGGGGGCGAGAAUCCCCCUCGCCGGAAGACCAAGGUUUUCAGGGUAAAGCUUGUCUUCCCUGAGUAAGCCGGGACCUAAGCCCAGGCUAUAAUGCGUAGGCGAAUGGAAAACAGAUUAAUAUUUCUGUGCCAGUCAUUUAUUGUGAUGGAGGGACGCAGAAGGGUAUGUGCGCGGACGAUCGGUUGUGUCCGUAGAAGUAUGUAGGAUGACUUAGUAGGUAAAUCCAUUAAGUUAUAUCUGAGGUAUGAUAUACAGUCGUAAGAUGAAUGCGCAAAUCCCACGCUGCCAAGAAAAGCUUCUAACGUUAAUAUAUGACUGCCCGUACUGUAAACCGACACAGGUGGUCAGGAUGAGAAAUCUAAGGCGGACAGGCUAACUCUCGUUAAGGAACUCUGCAAAAUAACCUCGUAACUUCGGGAGAAGAGGAGCCCUUGGGUGUUAGUAUCCACGCGAUACAAAGCGCUCGAGGGUCGCAGUGAAGAGGCUCAAGCAACUGUUUAACAAAAACACAGGUCUAUGCUAAGCUGGAAGGCGAUGUAUAUGGGCUGACACCUGCCCAGUGCUGGAAGGUUAAGAGGAGGAGUGAGAGCUCCGAAUUGAAGCCCCAGUGAACGGCGGCCGUAACUAUAACGGUCCUAAGGUAGCGAAAUUCCUUGUCGGGUAAGUUCCGACCUGCACGAAUGGUGUAAUGAUUUGAGCGCUGUCUUGACGGGAGGCCUGGUGAAAUUGUAUUACCGGUGAAGAUACCGGUUACCUACAGUAGGACGGAAAGACCCCAUGGAGCUUUACUGUAGCUUGGUAUUGGGUUUUGGCAUUGCAUGUAUAGGAUAGUUGGGAGACUGAGAUGAUAUGGCGCUAGCUGUAUCGGAGUCAUCGGUGGAAUACCAACCAUUC
rnacentral:rRNA from 1 species